CCUACGGGAGGCAGCAGUGAGGAAUAUUGGUCAAUGGGCGAGAGCCUGAACCAGCCAAGUCGCGUGAAGGAUGACGGCCCUACGGAUUGUAAACUUCUUUUGUCAAGGGGCAAAAUCAGGCUCGAGAGCCUGACCGAGAGUACUUGAAGAAAAAGCAUCGGCUAACUCCGUGCCAGCAGCCGCGGUAAUACGGAGGAUGCGAGCGUUAUCCGGAUUCAUUGGGUUUAAAGGGUGCGCAGGCGGGCCUUUAAGCCGGCGGUAAAAUCGCGGGGCUCAACCCCGCCGAGCCGUCGGAACUGGGGACCUUGAGGGGGGGGGAGGUAUGCGGAAUGCGCGGGGUAGCGGUGAAAUGCAUAGAUAUCGCGCAGAACCCCGAUUGCGAAGGCAGCGUGCCGUGCCGCGACUGACGCUGAGGCACGAAAGCGCGGGGAUCGAACAGGAUUAGAUACCCGUGUAGUC
rnacentral:rRNA from 1 species